rnacentral:rRNA from 1 species
GAUGAACGCUGGCGGCGUGCUUAACACAUGCAAGUCGAACGGAAAGGCCCAAGCUUGCUUGGGUACUCGAGUGGCGAACGGGUGAGUAACACGUGGGUGAUCUGCCCUGCACUUCGGAAUAAGCCUGGGAAACUGGGUCUAAUACCGGAUAGGACCACUUCUUGGAUGUUGUGGUGGAAAGUUUUUUCGGUGUGGGAUGAGCUCGCGGCCUAUCAGCUUGUUGGUGGGGUAAUGGCCUACCAAGGCGUCGACGGGUAGCCGGCCUGAGAGGGUGUACGGCCACAUUGGGACUGAGAUACGGCCCAGACUCCUACGGGAGGCAGCAGGGGGGAAUAUUGCACAAUGGGCGCAAGCCUGAUGCAGCGACGCCGCGUGGGGGAUGACGGCCUUCGGGUUGUAAACUCCUUUCGCUAGGGACGAAGCGUUUUGUGACGGUACCUGGAGAAGAAGCACCGGCUAACUACGUG